CGGACGGGUGAGUAAUGUCUGGGAAACUGCCCGAUGGAGGGGGAUAACUACUGGAAACGGUAGCUAAUACCGCAUAACGUCGCAAGACCAAAGAGGGGGACCUUCGGGCCUCUUGCCAUCGGAUGUGCCCAGAUGGGAUUAGCUAGUAGGUGGGGUAACGGCUCACCUAGGCAACGAUCCCUAGCUGGUCUGAGAGGAUGACCAGCCACACUGGAACUGAGACACGGUCCAG
rnacentral:rRNA from 1 species